GAUGAAGAACGCAGCGAAAUGCGAUACGUAAUGUGAAUUGCAGAAUUCAGUGAAUCAUCGAAUCUUUGAACGCAUAUUGCGCUCUCUGGUAUUCCGGAGAGCAUGCUUGUUUGAGUAUCAGUAAACACCUCAACUUCCAUAUCUUUUUUGAAAUGGGAGUUGGACUUGAGUGAUCCCAACGCUUUUCCUCACCGAAAAGUGGCGGGUUACUUGAAAUGCAGGUGCAGCUGGACUUUUCUCUGAGCUAUAAGCAUAUCUAUUUAGUCUGCCUAAAAAACAGAUUAUUACCUUUGCUGCAGCUAACAUAAAGGAGAUUAGUUCUUGUGCUGACUGAUGCAGGAUUCACAACGACAGGCUUCGGCCGACUUUGUAAACUCGAUCUCAAAUCAAGUAAGACUACCCGCUGAACUUAAGCAUAUCAAUAAGCGGAGGA
rnacentral:misc_RNA from 1 species